rnacentral:rRNA from 1 species
UCAGUGAAAUUGAACUCGCUGUGAAGAUGCAGUGUACCCGCGGCAAGACGGAAAGACCCCGUGAACCUUUACUAUAGCUUGACACUGAACAUUGAGCCUUGAUGUGUAGGAUAGGUGGGAGGCUUUGAAGUGUGGACGCCAGUCUGCAUGGAGCCGACCUUGAAAUACCACCCUUUAAUGUUUGAUGUUCUAACGUUGACCCGUAAUCCGGGUUGCGGACAGUGUCUGGUGGGUAGUUUGACUGGGGCGGUCUCCUCCUAAAGAGUAACGGAGGAGCACGAAGGUUGGCUAAUCCUGGUCGGACAUCAGGAGGUUAGUGCAAUGGCAUAAGCCAGCUUGACUGCGAGCGUGACGGCGCGAGCAGGUGCGAAAGCAGGUCAUAGUGAUCCGGUGGUUCUGAAUGGAAGGGCCAUCGCUCAACGGAUAAAAGGUACUCCGGGGAUAACAGGCUGAUACCGCCCAAGAGUUCAUAUCGACGGCGGUGUUUGGCACCUCGAUGUCGGCUCAUCACAUCCUGGGGCUGAAGUAGGUCCCAAGGGUAUGGCUGUUCGCCAUUUAAAGUGGUACGCGAGCUGGGUUUAGAACGUCGUGAGACAGUUCGGUCCCUAUCUGCCGUGGGCGCUGGAGAACUGAGGGGGGCUGCUCCUAGUACGAGAGGACCGGAGUGGACGCAUCACUGGUGUUCGGGUUGUCAUGCCAAUGGCACUGCCCGGUAGCUAAAUGCGGAAGAGAUAAGUGCUGAAAGCAUCUAAGCACGAAACUUGCCCCGAGAUGAGUUCUCCCUGACUCCUUGAGAGUCCUGAAGGAACGUUGAAG